rnacentral:misc_RNA from 1 species
GUAGUCGCCCGGGUUGCCGCAAGGCCUCCCGGGUAACCUACCACCCUUUGUUUAUUACACUUUGUUGCUUUGGCAAGCCUGCCCUCGGGCUGCUGGCUCCGGCCGGCGAGCGCUUGCCAGAGAACCUAAAACUCUUGUUUAAUCAUAUUGUCUGAGUACUAUAUAAUAGUUAAAACUUUCAACAACGGAUCUCUUGGUUCU